UACGGAGGGUGCAAGCGUUAUCCGGAUUCACUGGGUUUAAAGGGUGCGUAGGUGGGCAAGUAAGUCAGUGGUGAAAUCUCCGGGCUUAACCCGGAAACUGCCAUUGAUACUAUUUGUCUUGAAUACUGUGGAGGUCAGCGGAAUAUGUCAUGUAGCGGUGAAAUGCGCAGAUAUCAGGAGGAACACCAAUGGCGAAGGCAGCUCACUGGGACGGUAUUGACGCUGAGACGCGAAAGCGUGGGGAGCAAACAGG
rnacentral:rRNA from 1 species